AUUAGGAAAAAGCUGGAGUACAAAAGUAACAGCCUGAAGUAAUCUCUGUUUAUAUGCCACUCUCAUCUCAUCUCAUCUCAUCUCUGGAUAACAUUUCAUACUGAAAUCAGGAGCUAAAAAUUAUUAGAAGAGAUUUUAUUUUCACAGAAUGAGGUCUCAGAUUUGCAGAUCUGCGAGGACUAUUCUCUCUGCUGCUUCUAAGCAGACUUCUCGUUCCGUUUCCGGUAAUUUCAAUUUUCCGAAACUUAACGUGAUUUGCAAUUUUAUAAUAUGUAAUUGGUAAAAAAAAAAAAAGAGUUUCAAAUCUUGUGUAGUUGUUCUUUUCUCUUUAUAUUAUUGUGUGCUUGUAUUAAAUUUUUAAAAGACACAAUCUGUGAAGAGUGAAGUGGUUUGAAUGAAUUUUUUUUACUUAUAAUUGAAUUUGACUAAUCUUUAUGGUAUAUUAUAGUUACAUUUCAAAUUUUCUGUUAAAGAUUCUCUCUGCUACUUUUUAGCAGUUCUUUCGAUAAAAUAUGAUAAAAUCGAUUUCCCCAUAUAUUUUAGUUUGCUUUUUACAUUUUAGCUCUUGUAUGAUGUUGCUUUUUUCAAACUCGUUUCAAUGGCUCAUUCUUCAAACAAAAUAAAUUUGCAUGACACAUUCUAAAAAAAAAAAAAAACCACUUUUCACAAGAUAUUUUCUCAAAAAUCAACUUCACACGGCUUAAUUUUCUCUCUUGUUUACUGCAUUUUCAUUGUUUAUAAAUUAAGUUAUUUAUUUCCUUCAUUUUCAUUGUUUAUUAAUUAUGUAAUUAAGUGACUUCAGUUUCAUGUAAUUUCAAAGUUUUUUGGAUAGUUUUGGUGAAUUGUAUUUUGAAAUUUGAAUAUGAAAGUACUUUUGGAAAUAUUUGAUCCCUAAAUAUUUAUAGUUUGUUUCCUAAACUUGAAUCUUCGAUGUUUACUACAUUUUAUUAUUUUCUAAUUAAUUGAUUUUAUUUGAUGUAAUUUGAGUUUUUUUAUAUACUACCCAAGAUAAAAAAAAAAAAAAAAAAAAAAAAUCAGAAUAUGUAAGUAUGCUUUGGCAAUGUUGGAAAAAAUAAAUAAAUAAAUAAAAAGAAGAAGAAGAAGAAGCUUUCUUUUUGAUAUUUUCUAAUUUUAUUUUUUGUUUUUUGAACAUUUAUUAGAUGUUUUCUACAUUUUUAUUAUUUAUUAAUAAAUAAUUAAUUGAUUUCGUGUUCAUGUAAUUUAAGCUCUUUGAUUGUAAUUAUCAAGAUUAAAGUUAGUUGUGUUUUCAAUGUGCAAGUGAUCGGCGAAAUACGAUUUUUUUUUUUUUCUUUCCAUAUUUUUCAAUUUGAUUUUUUAUUAAUUGAAUCAUCUUUCUUAGAUGUUUAACCCAUUCUUACUUAUUUUUAGUUAUAAGUUUAAUCGACUUCAUCUUUACGAAAUUUAAGCUUUUUCAUUAUAUACAAGACAAGAUAAAAUUUAUCUGUUUGGUUAAAUCUUUUCCACCUUUCAUCAUAGUGACUAGUGUGUUGGUAUUAAUUUGAUAAACACAUUUUCUGAAGUGCUUCGGUGACUUCUAUUUAACUAAAUUUGACUAAUCUUUAUGUUAUGUUAUACUCCUACUGGAUUUUCUAACAAAAAAUAAACAAGCUUAAAAUUGUAUAGUUCAUCAAAACCUUAAAGGAAAAGUUAUCUUUGUAAUGUAAGGAGGACGAGCAGCGGCUGCAUCUCUUAUGUGCAGAGGAAGAGUGUCGGCUCUAUCUUCAUAUGGUGCGCCUGAAUUAGGAAAUGCAUAUAGGGGUUGGAUUUCUGGAGUUCUCACUCUUCCUGCAGCAGGUCUUAUCACAAAACUCUUCCCUCUUAAUGCUUUUAAACAAGUUUCUUUUUGUUUAUUUCCUAGGUAACUUGUCCCCUGUACAUAUUCAGACAUUAUUAUUCGUUGUGCAAGUUUUUUUAACCGGUGAAAUGAGAAAAGUAACUCAGAUUUUGAGAAUCUGAGUGAUUAUAAGGGUGCUAAUAGAAGUGGUGCCUUGUCCCUUGCUUAAGUUUUGCUUUGUGGCUUUCGGUACCUCUUCUAUUAUUUCAUGCCUCUGCACGGUAAGGGGGAAAAUAGUUUGCUCAAAUUAUAGCUCUCAUUUGAGAAUAUUCCUGUGUUUCUCCCCACAGUGCUAUGCAAUCUCAAACAAGUAUCUUUUAUUAAUCAUAGUAGCCCCUUCACUACCAAAUUACCAAUAGCUCUAGCCUUACCCAUAGCACAGCUUCUUUCAACUAGAAUUCUGACUUGAUCUUUUGUUUGAUUCUUAGCUUACAUGCUUCAGGAGCAAGAGGCACAUGCUGCUGAGGUACUUCAGUUAACUUUCGCAUGCGAGACAGUGUUGUCCCCAUUCUUUUCUCUGUUGGCUGACUAUGCAAUAUUUGUUGCUUGUGAAGAUGGAGCGCACUUUCAUUGCCAUCAAGCCAGAUGGAGUGCAAAGAGGACUGGUAUUAUUCUGCCCAGCUAAUUUUAUUAUUACAUGAAAGGUUCCUAUCUGCAGAUACCAUAAUGACAUGCUUGACGAAAUCGCAAAUUUUAUGAAAAUAUUUCUGCAUUCAGUUGCAUAAUCUAGUCUUGAAUCCCCUUCCCCCUUCUUUCCUUUUGGGCUUGUGGCCGAGCCGUUGACAUAUUUGUAUUAACAUGUUCUAUGCACGAUCUCUGAUAAAGUUUCCAUCGGUGUCAGAUUUCAGAAAUCAUAUCCCGCUUUGAGCGCAAAGGUUAUAAGCUUGUCGCCAUCAAGAUUUUGGUUCCUUCAAAGGAUUUUGCCCAGAAGCAUUAUCAUGAUCUCAAGGAGAGACCAUUCUUUAAUGGCUUGUGUGAUUUUCUUAGCUCUGGACCAGUCAUUGCAAUGGUUGGAAGAGUUCCAUCUGAAUCUGCUUGCUUCACACUAUUCUUUCGGGAACUGAGCUCAAUUUUUUACUUCUUCAGGUUUGGGAAGGUGAAGGAGUAAUAAAAUAUGGUCGUAAACUUAUCGGAGCUACAGAUCCCCAGAAAUCAGAACCCGGAACCAUCCGAGGCGACUUGGCUGUUGUGGUUGGAAGGUAAGUUCUUCCCUUCUGAAUCUUGUCAGAUAGACGUGAUCAUUAAACUGCAAAUUUUCGGGAUAUUAAACUUCAUUUAAAAAAAAAAAAAAUGUUAAACCCUAACCUUAAGAGUCCCCCACCAACCUUGCCUUGGAGCAUCGUUAGUUUCAUUGAACUUAAAACUGUAUUACAAUUUUAUUGCUCGGGCCAUUUCCAUUAGCUGACUAACGGAAAAGUUGAUGUAGCACAUUAGUUACCCUAGCUUCUCUGUUGUUCAAUGACCUACUUGGAAUAGAAAGGAAAAAACGUAAAAGUUCAAGUGCCAACAUGAAAUUUUGCCAAAAGUUGAGCGAGUACGAGUGUAUAUAUUUUCCCCUUUUGGUCCUCAUUUUGUGGAAAUGAAAAUGGGUUGAACAGUGUUUUUUUGAAAAAUGAGCGAUUGAAAAAGAAGGAAAAAGUUUUUGAUUUACGUGUAAUAUUAUUUUAUGGAAGAUUGUGUGAUUAAAAAUAGGAAAGAGAAAAAUGAAAUGUAAUGAAUGAAAAUUAAUGGGGGCUAAACGGGGCAUAAUUCCUUCCAAGUAUGCAAUGCAACAGUUGAGACCCACGUUACAAUCACACCAUAAAGCUUCUAAUCUUAACCUUGAAUCUCUUAUCUUAAUCAACCAUAAGAAGAAAAUGUGCUAAGAAGUAUUUUGUGCUUUGAGUGUAUAUAUUUUCUCUGCUUGAUCAACGGAAAUGGAUAUCUCAUCUGUAUGAUAAUUCUCUGCUCCAGAAAUAUAAUCCAUGGAAGUGAUGGCCCGGAGACAGCCAACGACGAAAUCAAACUAUGGUUUAAACCCGAGGAGUUGGUCAGUUACACGAACAACGCUGAGAAGUGGAUCUAUGGAGUCAACUGACGACACUCACUCUCUUCAAAAACUUCACGCAACUCAUGUCCCGCAUAAAGAGUGGGUACUUAGAAACAAAAUUAUCAGAACAGUGUCAGCUUCUUUAGUCGGCUGAGAACAUUAUUACGUGGGCAACCACCUGCCGAGCUUGAACUUGAAUAACGCACUACCCACUCGUGACUCUUGAUUACGGCAUCUUAUGCCCUGUGUAAUAAUGUGGUUACACCUCUCUAUUUCACAAGGCAUUUUCAGGGAUUGUUUUACAUUUUUUGAAAAGUCAAAAUCACCUUUUGAAAUUCAGAAAUUGCUUUUAGACAUGUUUGACCAAUUUUAUGAAAAUGUUUAUGCAAAUUAGAAGAGUUUUUAAAGAAAACUAAUCAAAUAUGACUUCCUCUAAAAUAGAAAGUUUUUUUUUUUUUCAAAAAUUAACUUCAAAACAAAAAUUAAUGUAGUUUAGUCUAAAAACUCUUUUGCAGUAACUAAAAGUAAAAGUAAUGUCAAACGGACUUUCUAUAGGUUAAAAUCAAUUUAUAACUAAUUGUACUGUUUCUGCAAGUUCUAUGAUGUUUAUUUUUAUUCAUUUAUUAGAAAACAUGUUAUGAAAUUGUUUGUUUGCGGCCAAACAAAAGCAGUGGAGGUUAAAAUUUGAGUUAGGAAUAAUCUAGUUUAAGAGAAGAAAAAUGGUCGAGAGGUUGAUGGAUGUGUAUAUGCCAAUAGAUGAGGGGAUGAAAGAGUUGACCUGUGUUAAACUGUCAAACGAUUGAAUAUUAUAUGACAGCAUGUCAACUAUUAUGUUACUGUAGUAUAAUUUUUUGCGCUAAUCACGUUAAUUGAAUUCAACAAUAGGGAAAGAAACUUUGGAACAAUUUUUGAAGAUUGUCCCGAAUGAAUGAAUGAUCUUCUGUACUCCAUUUCGUACUUUUUGAAUGGAAAAACUUUUGGGAGUUCUUAAAGGAUCGGACCAUUCACCUUGUGUAGAUUGUCUGACCGCAUAAAGUCAAUUGCAUUUAGAGAUUAAACUAAUGUAACUUAGUCCAAAUAUUUCAUCAAUGGCUUUUUGUCUGGAUCUUGAUUUGCUUCUGCAAUGAAAUGAAUUUUAUUAUAUUUUGAGGAAUUUUGCUUCUUUGUAACGGG
rnacentral:lncRNA from 1 species